ACAUGUCUUUUUGAAAUUAAUUUAAAGUCUAACCUGCCCACUGAAAAUUUAAAUGGCCGCAGUAUCCUAACUGUGCAAAGGUAGCAUAAUCAUUAGUCUUUUAAUUGAAGGCUUGUAUGAAUGGUUGGACGAGAUAUUAACUGUUUCAAUUAAAAUUUUUAUAGAAUUUUAUUUUUUAGUUAAAAAGCUAAAAUACUAUUAAAAGACGAGAAGACCCUAUAAAUCUUUAUAUUAAUUAUAUUAUAUUUAUAUAGGAUAAUUAAAUUAUAAUAUUUUUUAAUAUUUUAUUGGGGUGAUAUUAAAAUUUAAUAAACUUUUAUUUCUGAAACUCAUUAAUUUAUGAAUAAUUGAUCCGUUUUUAGCGAUUAAAAAUUUAAGUUACUUUAGGGAUAACAGCGUAAUUUUCUUGGAGAGUUCAUAUCGAUAGGAAAGAUUGCGACCUCGAUGUUGGAUUAAGAUAUAGUCUUGGGUGCAGCAAUUCAAGAUUUAAGUCUGUUCGACUUUUUAAAUCUUACAUGAUCU
rnacentral:rRNA from 1 species